ACGCUCGACACCUACGGGAGGCAGCAGUGGGGAAUAUUGCACAAUGGGGGAAACCCUGAUGCAGCGACGCCGCGUGAGCGAAGAAGUAUUUCGGUAUGUAAAGCUCUAUCAGCAGGGAAGAAACUGACGGUACCUGACUAAGAAGCACCGGCUAAAUACGUGUCAGCAGCCGGCGGUAAUCUGAGCGGGCUGGCAAGGC
rnacentral:rRNA from 1 species